rnacentral:rRNA from 1 species
UGGGGAAUAUUGCACAAUGGGCGAAAGCCUGAUGCAGCAACGCCGCGUGCGGGAAGAAGGCCCUAGGGUUGUAAACCGCUUUCAGCAGGGACGAUAAUGACGGUACCUGGAGAAUAAGCCCCGGCAAACUUCGUGCCAGCAGCCGCGGUAAUACGUAGGGACCAAGCGUUGUUCGGAUUUACUGGGCGUAAAGGGCGCGUAGGCGGCAAUUCAAGUCAUCUGUGAAAUCUCCGGGCUUAACUCGGAACGGUCAGAUGAUACUGCUUUGCUAGAGUGCAGAAGGGGCAAUCGGAAUUCUUGGUGUAGCGGUGAAAUGCGUAGAUAUCAAGAGGAACACCUGAGGUGAAGGCGGCUAUCUGGACGACAACUGACGCUGAGGCGCGAAAGCGUGGGGAUCAAACAGGAUUAGAUACCCCUGUAGUCCCUGAGCGGGCUGGCAAGGCGCAU